GACGAACGCUGGCGGCGUGCUUAACACAUGCAAGUCAACGAGAAAGGAGUAGCAAUAUUCCGAGUAAAGUGGCGCAAGGGUGAGUAACACGUAAGUAAUCUGCCCAUAGAAGUGGAAUAACGUAGAGAAAUUUGCGCUAAUACCGCAUAAUGCAGCGGCACCGCAUGGUGAUGUUGUUAAAGUAUAAUUUACGUCUAUGGGAUGAGCUUGCGUCUGAUUAGCUAGUUGGUAAGGUAAUGGCUUACCAAGGCAACGAUCAGUAGCUGGUCUGAGAGGAUGAUCAGUCACACUGGAACUGAGACACGGUCCAGACUCCUACGGGAGGCAGCAGUGAGGAAUAUUGGGCAAUGCCCGCAAGGGUGACCCAGCAACGCCGCGUGGAGGAUGAAGGUCGUAAGAUUGUAAACUCCUGUUAGAAGGGAAGAAUAUCCGGGAUUGAAUCCCGGUUUGACUGUACCUUCAGAGAAAGCCCCGGCUAACUACGUG
rnacentral:rRNA from 1 species